CUCCUUUGACGUUAGCGGCGGACGGGUGAGUAACACGUGGGUAACCUACCUAUAAUACUGGGAUAACUUCGGGAAACCGGAGCUAAUACCGGAUAAUAUUUCGAACCGCAUGGUUUGAUAGUGAAAGGUGGUUUUGCUAUCACUUAUAGAUGGACCCGCGCCGUAUUAGCUAGUUGGUAAGGUAACGGCUUACCAAGGCGACGAUACGUAGCCGACCUGAGAGGGUGAUCGGCCACACUGGAACUGAGACACGGUCCAGACUCCUACGGGAGGCAGCAGAU
rnacentral:rRNA from 1 species